GUGGAGAUCAAUGGUUCGAAAGGAUUUAGGGUUUCACGAUUUAAGGCUUGCUUGUGGUGUUUGAUGGAGGCACAUUUCAGGUGAUGAACAUGGUGGUUGAAAGCAUGAAGACGUUGUUGUGAUUCUCAUGAAAAGAGAUUAAGGUUGUAUGAGUUGUUGGAGGCCGAAUGACUGAUAGUAGUGACUAGGGUUUCUGAUGUAUUGAGAGGUUGAAAAUGAUAAUAUGACAACGAAUACACUAUGUUGGAUGGGCCAUAUAAGAAAAAAAAUUGAGCAACUUGUUCAAACAAUUUCAACGUGUAUAGUUUACCGAUAACAAUUUAGACAACAUCAUAAAAAUAAACCAAAUUAAAUUUAAAUUACUAAAAUUAGAACCACUUUAAAUAUUAAAAAAAUAAA
rnacentral:lncRNA from 1 species